GAUGAACGCUGGCGGCGUGCUUGAUACAUGCAAGUCGAACGGAGAGUGUAGCAAUAUACUCUUAGUGGCGAACGGGUGAGUAACGCGUUGGUGACCUGCCCCGAAGCGAGGGAUAACAGUUCGAAAGAACUGCUAAUACCUCAUGUGAUCACCGGUUUUAGAAUCUGGUGAUUAAAGGUGAAAAUCACUUCGGGAGGGGCCUGCGUCCCAUCAGCUAGUUGGUAGGGUAAUGGCUUACCAAGGCGAUGACGGGUAGGGGACCUGAGAGGGUGGCCCCCCACAAUGGAACUGAAACACGGUCCAUACACCUACGGGUGGCAGCAGUAGGGAAUAUUAGAAAUGGACGAAAGUCUGAUCUAGCAACACCGCGUGUGCGAAGAAGGCCUUCGGGUCGUAAGCACUUUUGGAGGAAUAGGAAGGAAUGUACUUCCAGAAUAAGUACUCGGCUAACUACGUG
rnacentral:rRNA from 1 species